rnacentral:lncRNA from 1 species
GCCUCUUAAAAGCAGACUCUUUAUCUGUUUAUUUUUACCAUAAAUCUUAUGUAUACCUGUCCCAUGGCCUUUCUUUAAGUUUUGAAAUAAAGAAAAAAAAUUGUGUUAGUUGUCUGCAUGUCAUUGUGUAGCCUCAUAUAUCAUAAAUACUAGGAGCACUACCUGACACCAAGAGAUAUACGGUGUAAAGGAGGAUAUACUAUUAGCACACACAAUAGGUCUUACUUAACAUCCCCAAACAUACAUGACACAAUGAAUGCUAUUAAAAAAAUGAAAAAGAAAAACACAC